rnacentral:snoRNA from 1 species
AUGUACAUUCACUAUAUAAUGACUAUGCAUGUGUCCUCAGACAUAGUUCUUUCCCUGGGUCAGAUUUUAUACAUGCUGGUGAUAAAA